GGUUAAGUUAGAAAGGGCGCACGGUGGAUGCCUUGACACUAGGAGUCGAUGAAGGACGGGACUAACGCCGAUAUGCUUCGGGGAGCUGUAAGUAAGCUUUGAUCCGAAGAUUUCCGAAUGGGGAAACCCACCAUACGUAAUGGUAUGGUAUCCUUAUCUGAAUACAUAGGGUAAGGAAGACAGACCCAGGGAACUGAAACAUCUAAGUACCUGGAGGAAGAGAAAGCAAAUGCGAUUUCCUGAGUAGCGGCGAGCGAAACGGAACAUAGCCCAAACCAAGAGGCUUGCCUCUUGGGGUUGUAGGACAUUCUAUACGGAGUUACAAAGGAACGAGGUAGACGAAGCGACCUGGAAAGGUCCGUCGUAGAGGGUAACAACCCCGUAGUCGAAACUUCGUUCUCUCUUGAAUGUAUCCUGAGUACGGCGGAACACGUGAAAUUCCGUCGGAAUCUGGGAGGACCAUCUCCCAAGGCUAAAUACUCCCUAGUGAUCGAUAGUGAACCAGUACCGUGAG
rnacentral:rRNA from 1 species